AGCGAACGCUGGCGGCAGGCCUAACACAUGCAAGUCGAGCGGCCGUAGCAAUACGGCAGCGGCAGACGGGAGAGUAGCACGUGGGAACGCGCCCUUCGGUUCGGGAUAACUCAGGGAAACUUGGGCUAAUACCGGAUACGCCCUUACGGGGAAAGAUUUAUUGCCGAAGGAACGGCCCGCGUCCGAUUAGCUCGUUGGUGAGGUAACGGCUCACCAAGGCGACGAUCGGUAGCUGGUCUGAGAGGAUGACCAGCCUCACUGGGACUGAGACACGGCCCAGACUCCUACGGGAGGCAGCAGUGGGGAAUAUUGGACAGUGGGCGCAAGCCUGAUCCAGCCAUGCCGCGUGGGUGAUGAAGGCCCUAGGGUUGUAAAGCCCUUUCAGCGGGGAAGAUAAUGACGGUACCCGCAGAAGAAGCCCCGGCUAACUUCGUGCCAGCCGCCGCCGUAAUAC
rnacentral:rRNA from 1 species